CCGACCAUAAGCUCAGUGGUCGAGCGUUCGCUUGAAAAGCGUGAGGUCCCUGGUUCGAUACCACCCUCGAUGGC